rnacentral:rRNA from 1 species
CCUACGGGUGGCAGCAGUCGAGAAUCAUUCACAAUGGGGGAAACCCUGAUGGUGCGACGCCGCGUGGGGGAAUGAAGGCCUUCGGAUUGUAAACUCCUGUCAUGUGGGAGCAAAUUAUAAAGAUAGUACCAUAAGAGGAAGAGACGACUAACUCUGUGCCAGCAGCCGCGGUAAUACAGAGGUAUCAAGCGUUGUGAGGAAUCACUGGGCGUAAAGCGUGCGUAGGCUGUUUCGUAAGUCGUGUGUGAAAGGCGCGGGCUCAACCCGCGGACUGCACAUGAUACUGGGAGACUAGAGUAAUGGAGGGGGAACCGGAAUUCUCGGUGUAGCAGUGAAAUGCGUAGAUAUCGAGAGGAACACUAGUGGCGAAGGCGGGUUACUGGACAUUAACUGACGCUGAGGCACGAAGGCGUGGGGAGCGAAAGGGAUUAGAUACCCCAGUAGUC